CAUAGCGACUAUCGUGGCAUAUCAAUAAGCGGAGGAAAAGAAACUAACAAGGAUUCCCUUAGUAACGGCGAGUGAAGCGGGAAGAGCUCAAAUUUGAAAUCUUCAAGGUUUUACCUUGACGAAUUGUAGUUUAAAGAAGUGUUUCCUGUUGGAGUUUUGGUAAAAGUUCUUUGGAAUAGGACAUCAUAGAGGGUGAGAAUCCCGUAUUUGACCAUUAUUUCCAGCUGUGUGAUACACUUUCAAAGAGUCGGAUUGUUUGGGAAUGCAGUCCAAAAUGGGUGGUAAAUUUCAUCCAAAGCUAAAUAUUGGCGAGAGACCGAUAGCGAACAAGUACCGUGAGGGAAAGAUGAAAAGAACUUUGAAAAGAGAGUUAAACAGUACGUGAAAUUGUCAAAAGGGAAGCGUUUGACACCAGUGUUGUUUUUCCGAAAAUCAAUUACGAAUGUUUUGUUUUUGAGGAGUUAUGACUUCAUCGGCUUGCUCCUUUCUUUACGAAACUUUCUUAAUGCACUUUUCGGUUAACAAGUCAACAUCAAUUUCUUUUGUUGUAAAAGGGUAUGAGGAAGGUGGCUUUCUUUUCGGAGAAAGUGUUUAUAGCCUUGUGCCUCUGCAAUCGGAGAGAUUGAGGUCUGCAGCGUAGAUCCUUCGGGGUUAGAUACGUUUGUGCUAAGUUAUAGCUUUUCAUAGACAACUUGUUGACUAUGUUUAGUCUUGUAGCUUACUCGCUGACGCUAUUUUACCUACGCUUAGGAUGUUGACGAGACUGUCGAUCUC
rnacentral:rRNA from 1 species